UUUAAACAGUAGUUAUAUAAUUGGAAAUAAAAUGUUAGUCACACAAACAAUAAUCAAUAUAAGUGAGAUAAAAUAAGAUGAGUCAAAUCCAUACUUGGGCUCCCAUAAAAAAGAAAAGUGUGACGAUGUGCAGUCUCUGUUGGUUGAGCCUUGCAUUAAUAAUUUAAUACUCGUCAUGGCUCUGAUGUAUUUAUGCAAAAGAAACAAAGAAAGAAAAGAAAAGGAUUAGAGUAGGAAUUUGAUUAUGAAUCAAUGAAGAAGUAUAACGUACAACCACAAAAGAUAAUGAUAAUAUUUGUUUAUUAUACUCCUAACUUCAAAUAUGUUAAUAUUUCAACAGUAGAACUAAGCUAUCAACUCUCGAACAUUCAUGGAUGUUGCACCUAGUUUAAUAAAAUGAAGGCUACUAAUUUAGUCAAAAAUCAAGAGAAAAAUAUGACUACUUAUUUAGUCAAAUAAUGAUCUAUUAACUCUAAGAAUGAAGCCUUAGGAUAUGAUAUUGAUGCAACAGUAGAUUUAGAUAUAUUAUCUACUCAAGAGGAUAGUGAAGUAUGCUAACAUUCAUUGCUAAUAAACCAUUAAACCCAAACAGACUAUUAAUGUAAGCUACAUAAUGAUACCAAACCAACACUGCUAUACAAACGGAAUGAUCACAAAAGCAUUUUUUAUCGUCAUUUAUCAAUCAGUUACAUGGAAACAAUAGAUUUCUAUAAUCACGGCAUCUAAACGCACAGGAGCAGUGAAGCAAAAUCAACAUUCUUUAACCUACAUGACAGAGCAUAAAUUCUUUGGAAUAAACGAAAGCAAGUGAAAUAAAAAACACUGACUUGUUUUGGGGCAGUGAACCGGGUCGGUGUUGGUCUCGCAUCCACUCUCUCGUCAUGAACAGAUCCAAACCUCGAGCCGAUUGAGUUUGAAUACCUCUGUCACGGUCAAACAAAAAGGUUUUGUUUC
rnacentral:lncRNA from 1 species